GAUGAACGCUGGCGGCGUGCCUAACACAUGCAAGUCGAGCGAGGAAAGAUAGCUUGCUAUCAAUCCUAGCGGCGGACGGGUGAGUAACGCGUGGGUAACCUGCCCUAUACACAUGGAUAACAUACCGAAAGGUAUGCUAAUACAGGAUGAAACAUUGAUAAGGCAUCUUAUUAAUGUCAAAGCCUUGGCGGUAUAGGAUGGGCCCGCGUCCCAUUAGUUAGUUGGUGAGGUAACGGCUCACCAAGGCCACGAUGGGUAGCCGACCGGAGAGGGGGAACGGCCACACUGGAACUGAGACGCGGUCCAGACUCCUACGGGAGGCAGCAGUGGGGAAUAUUGCACAAUGGGCGAAAGCCCGAUGCAGCAACGCCGCGUGAGCGAUGAAGGCCUUCGGGUCGUAAAGCUCUGUCCUCAAGGAAGAAUUUUGACGGUACUUGAGGAGGAAGCCCCGGCUAACUACGUGCCAGCAGCCGCGGUAAAAC
rnacentral:rRNA from 1 species